AUUCAGACAAUUCGCCUAAACAAUUAGCUUAAAAAAAGCGAUUAGUAAAAGUGCUUCUCUCUCAAGAUUUGAGGGAAUGUCACCCUCACUGCCCUGGAGCAAAGUUUGUGGCAUAUGACCAAGCGUUGUUGUAAACGGGGUCAGCCAAGUGGUCGGCCAAGUUCUCUAUUGGUCCCUUUCCGGUAACGAUGGCUUGUACGAAAAAUCCAAACAUAGAAAACGUGGCCAAUCUUCCAUUCUUAAGCUCAUUCACCUUAAGCUCGGAAAAAGCCUCCAGAUCCUCUGCAAGGCCUAACGGGUCAAAGCUCCCGCCAGGGUAUAACGGGUCCGUCACCUCACUGAGUGGACCACCGGCAACUUUGUAGCCCUCCACGGCUCCCAUUAAGAUAACUUGUGUGGCCCAAAUUGCCAAAAUGCUUUGUGCAUGGACUAAGCUUGGGUUCCCCAAGUAGUCUAGUCUUCAUUCACUGAAGAUUUGAUUAUGCACCAUUGAACCGAAUAAUUUGGCUAAACGUUGAACAGGAGGCAACCAAGUUGAUUUGUUGUUCUAUUUAAAGUUGAAGAGUCCUGCUUAGUUUUGGUUUCGUUUAUAUAGAGACGAGGACAACUUGGCCCCUGCACCAUUUCUCGGCACUUGAGGGUAAGAUUUAGCUGGUGAGGUAGUGGAUUGCAAAGCUGUAAUGAGAUCUUAGCUUUAUUUUUAAUCAACGAAUUUGGAAGCAUCUUUAUAUGUUUAGAUUGCUAUCUCGUAUUUGGAUUGGAUUUUAGGCACUGGAAAUUAUGAGUUGUUUUGGGUAUGGUUUCCUGCUUCUGCUGCUUCCUGAUUGUAUCUCUGUUUGUUACUUGGUUUGCUAGAAUUUGUGGUUUUGUCCGUUAAUCUUGAAAAAAAUUUGGGCUAACCAGAGGAACCAAUUCAGGUCUCAGUCAUACUCCCUUCAAUUGCAGUUUACAAAAGCAUUAUAAUUUAGAAAAAUGUUACUCGCUGUUUUUAGCAACUCUAUGAGUUGGACUGCUCCUUAAACGGAUAGUGAACCAGCUUAAUUUUUCAUUAAAAUCACAAGCUUUGAGAUCUGAGUCUGCCAUAUUAGUAUCAUUCAUUAGUUUUUAAUCCCAUUAAUUAUAUUUUGAACAUGUUUAUUUUUCAUACAACAAUAGUUAUAAACAUGUGAAUUCUUUUACGUCUUGAAAAAAUAAGAAACUGAUCCGGUUUCUGAUUUUCCAAGCCUGGUCUAUUCUGCAUCGGGUACACUUCUGGGCAUCAUUACGGGUGUCAAUUUCUUUAGAACUCAUGGAUAAGUAGUUUCGCGAUAUCAGUUGAAGGACUCGGUAAGUGAAUUCAAUUAUAGUUUUCUUAGCCGGGUUGAUAUCUUAUCCACUGCACUGUCCACCUUCUUUUCUUUUAGAGAAGAUUUGUUUUCUAUUGAAUUAAUAGUAAAAAUAACUGGGGAAGGAAAUUGAGAAAAAAAAUAAAAAUAAAAAAAACAGCUUUUCUUGGAUAUGUUUGUGGAGAUUUUCUUUAAAAUUUACUCUUUUUGGUAUGUUGUGAUUACACGCAAAUACAGAUUAUAUGUCAAUAUUGUGGGGUUAUAACACAUCGGUUUUGGAAAGCAUUAUUUUGCGUUGUGAAUUCUGAAUCGAUAAACUUCUAAUUAGCAUAUGAUUGAUAUGGUAUAUAGACCCAACAUCUUUAGCUAUAUGUUAUAGUUUGACAUAAAAAUUGAAUAUAUGAGUUUUAAAUCUUUCAACCAUGUUAUUCAACUGAUGCCAUAUUUUUUAAACUCUGUGGAAAGGAAUUUACAUGCAACAUGAUCAAAAUGACUCCAUAAACUACUUAUAAAAUAUCUUUUCAAAUACAUAAGCAAAAAGUGGGAUGGUUCUCACCACAUCUUUACCAUUGCCCAAUUUUUUUGCUAUUAUAAAAGCUAUGAAUUGCUAUUGGGUUUACCUUUUUCAUGGAAUUUUCAGAAUUUUGGGUCGUUGGAGGAAGAAUUUGGUUGCUUGACAUUUUGAGUCUUUGUAGCUGAUAGAAUUACAUCACCUCCAAAGUUGCAGACAAGUAUUGCAAGGUUUUUUCUAUCCUCUGGUAUUCAUUGAUUGAGUUUGUUUGCAGCUGAAAAUGCUGUCUUAGUUAAGACUUAAGGAGAACUAUACUCAAGAAUGUGUUGUUCGUUGUUUCUGAUGAUAUCAUUUUUUUUAUCAAUUUAAAAACUGUGGUUUGUAUUUUUUAGUAUUGUUUUAGCACUUUGGCCUAAUGGGUUUGGUUGCACCUAAUUGCAAAUCCUACAUUUGCUCAUGAUUUAGUAAUUCACCAAGUAAUUAUGUUUAUGCAUACUCUAAUUAUUAUUU